GGGCCGUUAGCUUAGCUUGGUAGAGCGCUUGCAUGGCAUGCAAGAGGUCACCGGUUCGAAUCCGGUACGGUCCACCA
rnacentral:tRNA from 1 species